UGGGGAAUAUUGCGCAAUGCGCGAAAGCCUGACGCAGCGACGCCGCGUGAGGGAUGAAGGCCUUAGGGUCGUAAACCUCUGUCAGGAGGGAAGAACCGCCAUAGGAGUAACUGCCUGUGGUCUGACGGUACCUCCAAAGGAAGCACCGGCUAACUCCGUGCCAGCAGCCGCGGUAAUACGGAGGGUGCAAGCGUUAAUCGGAAUCACUGGGCGUAAAGCGCGCGUAGGCGGCUUUGUAAGUCAGAGGUGAAAUCCCACGGCUCAACCGUGGAACUGCCUUUGAUACUGCUUAGCUACGAGUUUGUGAGAGGAUAGUGGAAUUCCAGGUGUAGGAGUGAAAUCCGUAGAGAUCUGGAGGAACAUCAGUGGCGAAGGCGACUAUCUGGCACAACACUGACGCUGAGGUGCGAAAGCGUGGGUAUCAAACAGG
rnacentral:rRNA from 2 species